rnacentral:lncRNA from 1 species
ACAUGUAUUCGUGUUCCUGAAUAAGGUCGGAUAAUUGGGUUACUUAUAUGCAUAUUUAUAUGAAAGUGUUUGAAUAAGAGUUUUAUUAAAUAUGAAAAGUUAUGUCUCUGAAUAAGAUUAAUCAGAUUUUAGAAAUAACCCUCCAAUCUUAACUCAGAUUUUGUUAUCGAUAUUGAUAUCCAGACAAGUUUAGGGACAUUGUAGACCCUAACAUUAUUUUACUGAUUGAUUAUCUUUGAUUUACUGUGGUUAUUUAAGUUUUUGCAAAUUUAUUUGGUUUGAUAUUUUACUUUAAUCUACUCUCAUUCAAUUAUCACAUUUCAAAUAACAGUUUUCAGUAUAAUAAU